rnacentral:rRNA from 1 species
GACGAAGGGUCCUAGCGUUGCUCGGAAUCACUGGGCGUAAAGCGCACGUAGGCGGAUUGCUAAGUCAGGGGUGAAAUCCUGGAGCUCAACUCCAGAACUGCCUUUGAUACUGGCGAUCUCGAGUCCGGGAGAGGUGAGUGGAACUGCGAGUGUAGAGGUGAAAUUCGUAGAUAUGACACAGAACACCGAUUGCGUAGGCAGCUCACUAAACUGUAACUGACGCUGAGGCACGAAAGCGUGGGGAGCAAACAGG